UGGGGGAAUAUUGCGCAAUGGGCGAAAGCCUGACGCAGCGACGCCGCGUGAGGGAUGAAGGUCUUCGGAUCGUAAACCUCUGUCAGAAGGGAAGAAACUAGGGUGCUCUAAUCAUCAUCCUACUGACGGUACCUUCAAAGGAAGCACCGGCUAACUCCGUGCCAGCAGCCGCGGUAAUACGGAGGGUGCAAGCGUUAAUCGGAAUCACUGGGCGUAAAGCGCACGUAGGCUGUUAUGUAAGUCAGGGGUGAAAUCCCACGGCUCAACCGUGGAACUGCCCUUGAUACUGCACGACUUGAAUCCGGGAGAGGGUGGCGGAAUUCCAG
rnacentral:rRNA from 1 species